GCCAGGUCCUGUACACACUGCUGCCUUCAAGGAGAAAUAUGAAGCUUCCACCACAGUCAAGUGCCUUGCUUUAGCUAGAAGCUACUUCAUUCUGCAGAUGGUGAAGCUGCUUUUGGCUGGGUCUGAUCUUCAUAGCUGAUAGCAGGGAGCCUGAAAGGCCGAUGAGAUGACUCCGGCUCCAACGUCCUUCGCCUCUAUCCAUGCAGCCCGGGUCCUGAGCUAGAUCUGCCCUUCCCUCCUAUGACUGUCCCUUUUCUGUCCUGCUACCCCUAUAGGAAUAACUCACUGUUUAAGCAGCGUGGAGCUAAACCUGAGCAUAGGUCUGCCUUUGUGCUAGCUAUGCAACUGAAGCAUUCGCUCUGGAGCCACUCACAAGGAAACGACAACUUUUAUUAAGCAUGGCAGAGGGGCUGUGGGGAGAGCAGAGAGAUGCUGGGUGCUACAUCACACAUCAGCUCUGCACUCGAUGCCCCAGCCAGAGGAAACACUCAGCUGUAACGCUCAGAGCAGUGUAGAGUGAGGGGUACAAAAAAAAACUCUGUAUUUAAUCUCCUUACCAUAACAACAACCAGAUCCCGAUGAAUUCAUACUGACCAAAGGAAAAAUGCAUAAAAUUCUCUAGGUGAAAUAACACCUUAAAUGCUUAAACCAUCUGUUUUUAAUUCUCGUGAACACGCAUUCUGUCUGUGCAGCGAUAUAAAACAGCACAGCUCCUCUUCCGUGCUCAUGCAGUCACUGUGGUUAGGUAAUGCAGAACCCGAGAGAAGAUGGCAGUGGCUACUGUCCUAAUGUGUAUUGCAGUAGAAGACAGGAUAAAUGUUCAUGGGUGCUUUUUCUCGCCAUCGCAGUAAGCGUGCAGACUGCAUGCGAGACUGAGGGGGAGAAAAGAGAGUCCUGCUAUCAGUGGGGACUCUCUGUGUACCUAUAUGCAGGCUGCUGAUUGAUGCAAAAGCAGCAGAUGCGUCAGCACUGCAGACUGCAGGGGGAGGGGAGGAAGCUGAACCCGACAUAGCACUGUGAGCCUCUCACCAGCCUCUGAGGACGGAAGCCGCUCUUUUAUUUACACAACCGAGUAAAGUCAUGUGACCGUGUCUGUGCUAUCGUCACACAGGCUGAAUCCCACUUUAAACCAUUUUCAAAGCCAUUUCAUUUAAUGUAUUGUUGACUUCAAAAGACAAAGCAGCAGGUGCUACAGUUUAUCAUUAUGCAUGCACUGACUCUUUGCCCUGAAGGGAGGAAACAGGCUAUUCGUGGAGCGUUUUGGCUUUUGUCUCUUUAAAAAUGAACUCAAUGAACCUUUGAAUCUUAGCUGUAGCUGUGUCGUUCUGUUCCCAUUUUUGUGCUCAGAACAUCACAUAAUGUUGUGGUUAUGAAUACACAAUUGACCUCAGGGUCCGUCUUAUAUUCUUGGUGCUCAAAUCAAGAACUGCUCACUUACAGACCACUACAUUAACAAGCGGAGCAGUCAGUGUGUUAGUUCGUCGAGUAGUUAAAUCUUAAAGCUUUUGUAAAAUUUGCCUAUAGUGUGACAAUCAAAAGUAACAGAAAAAAUGGUAUAAUAAAAGUGAUGAGGAAACUGUAGCUUAGAUGUGUUUUGUCUCAACUGUGGCAAAAAAAAAUCUACAUUUGGAAAAUUAGGGUUUGAGCUAGCCUGGAGGUGAAAAAGGGGAUAAAUAUGCAGCAACCUGCACAACUGACAGAGACGUAAAAAAAAAAAAAACUACACUAUCUCCAUAUGGACAAAACAUGUUGCAGUUGUAUUUCAAGAAAUACUUUGGUUGAAAUAUGUUAGGUUUUCUUCUUCGUACAUCUGAAACCUGAACAACAAGGUUUUGUUUAAAAAGAAUUAAAACAGUCUUUUAGUUUAAAUCUCCAUGAUGAUGUUGAUAGUGGAACGACUUUUAAAUCACAACAUUCUUACUCAUGGCUUCUUUGUACUGCCUAGGUCUCAUCUUACCUUUGUCAAUCCCUUGUUUUUUUACAGCAUGUAAUGUAAACCUUUUACACUAGGGGACUUAAAUGUAUCUCUGGUAAAAUGUCUCAUAGCUUUAGAUCAUUUUUAACUUCCCUAUUGUUUAACAUUAGCAGUCCAUUUGUAUCAGUGUUAUUUGUUUUAUACAUUUUAGACGUGGAAACCAUUAUAAAUGAUAAUAGAUAGAGCUGUUCUGUUUUUAUAUAUUUACAUCACAAAACGAUAUCUGAUCUGUCGGCCUCUUGUCCAUUGACAGUUAGGAUUAGCUCCAGACUCCCUGGAACACCCCAAGGUUAAGCAUUACAGAUAUUAGAUUGAUUGAUAAAACAGAUAUCCGGCUAACAUUAAAAGAGCAAAUGGAAAAUA